ACGGAGGUAUCUGCUGGCCCGGGGGAAAAAAGCGAAUCUUAAAUCGUCAAGAAGGCAAAUCUGCAAAUAUUGUUGUGGAAGAACCAAAAAUAUUAAUUGAUAUGGCUGAUAUUCAAAUAUUCCAGUAGAAACUGAGUCUCCAUAUGAGAAGAUAAUGAAAAAACUGGAUUUACUUGGCACAAGCAAAAGGAGACCGAGCAGCUAGGAAAUACGAGGCUGUCUAAAAUAUUAUACCUGGAUUGCCCUCUAUUUGGUGGUCCGAAGAGUAUAGAGGAAUUUAAAGCUGCAAUGCUGGAUGUCCUUAAAAGCACCAAGCAAAGGUACCGAAAAAAUUAGAAAAAUAAAAACUUGUGGGACCUGAUAAUGAGCAGACUUUGUCCAGAAAAGACAUCGAAGAAGAGCUUGCUUCAACUAAAGAUAGCUGGGCUCUUGAGUUGUCGGAGGGAGAUA